UACAGAGGGGGGCAAGCGUUAUUCGGAAUUAUUGGGCGUAAAGGGCGCGUAGGCGGCCAUUCAAGUGACGGGUGAAAGCCCUCGGCUUAACCGAGGAACUGCCUGUCAGACUGGAUGGCUUGAGACCGGGAGAGGUGAGUGGAAUUCCCAGUGUAGCGGUGAAAUGCGUAGAUAUUGGGAGGAACACCAGUGGCGAAGGCGGCUCACUGGACCGGAACUGACGCUGAGGAGCGAAAGCCAGGGGAGCAAACAGG
rnacentral:rRNA from 1 species